rnacentral:lncRNA from 1 species
AAAAGCAAAUCUUUUUUUGUAAGAUUCUCAUUCCAUCAGUGCAAAAAAAAAAAGGGGAGAGAGAUAAGUCCCUCUGGCCUGGGCGAUUUCCGGUUGCCGGAUUGAUGCCUGUCCGUCACCGGCGUUCGUCGUGCACGGCGGCCAGAGGUGCAAAAGUGACACCAAAUCGGUUCCCAUUGUCCCUCUCACUCUGGAUUCGAGUUCUACACAAGCAAAAAAACCCUUUGGUCAUCGGAUCGAGCCACGGGAACCAUUCGGCUCCUAACUUUUCCGAACUUUGAGAAGGUAACGAUAUCCUUUCUUUUUUUAAUAUAUGUGUAUGUAUUGUGCGUGUGUGUGUGUGUUGAAUCCACUCGUGAGAUGAAAAUAAUCGAUUAAAAGAAUGAAGAAACAACCUUUUUUCUUUGAAAUUCUUCGAUUUCUCCUUUUUAUUUCUUUUGUCUGCCUAAAAAAGUUACAUUUUUUGCCUGGCUAUAUAUAGCCGAAUACAUUAUAUUUUUUGCUUCUGUUAUCAGCUUUUGCGUGUUGUUGUCUCCAUUCUUUUCCUUUUCCUUUGAUUUGUUUGCAGACUAGGAGUCAACGGCGGUGACAGAGGAGUUGGUGGAGGCAAACGGUAUGGGCGAUAGGACAAGUGUGGCUAGGGUUUUUCUUUUUUCUUUUCUUUUUUGUUUGUUGGUUUGGGCUAGGGUUAGGUUUUAGAUUGGGCUUUAGGGGUUAUAAAAUGGGCCGGGCAAAUUGGGCUUGUACACAUAUAAUAUAAAAGUUGGUGAUACAUAUAUUUAUGUUUUGUUAAAUUUUUAUAAUUAAUAUUUAAAAUAUUUUAUAAUUAAAUAAAAUUUGUAUAUUUUAAAUUAUAUAAUAUCUUCAAUCACAUACUUUU